rnacentral:tRNA from 1 species
GGGGAUGGGCGCCGGUCGUGUCAGCGAGUCUCCAAAACUCGCGUGUGAAGGUUCGAGUCCUUCCAUCCCUG